rnacentral:misc_RNA from 1 species
UUUCCGUAGGUGAACCUGCGGAAGGAUCAUUACUGAGUUAGGGUCUUCACAGGCCCAAUCUCCAACCCUCUGUCAAAAUUACUACGUUGCUUUGGCGAGCCUGUUCAUAUUGGACCGCUUUAUUCGAGCGAGUGCUCGCCAAUAGCCCACUUAACUUCUUUAUAAUUAUGUCGUCUGAUAUCAAAUAUUUAGUUAUAUAAAACUUUCAACAACGGAUCUCUUGGUUCUG